GAAAUGCGAUAAGUAGUGUGAAUUGCAGAAUUCAGUGAAUCAUCGAAUCUUUGAACGCACAUUGCGCCCUUUGGUAUUCCUUAGGGCAUGCCUGUUCGAGCGUCAUCUAAACCCUCAAGCACCGCUUGGUGUUGGGCGUUUGUCCCGCCUCGUGCGCGGACUCGCCCCAAAAGCAUUGGCGGCCUGUGUAACUGGCUUCGAGCGCAGCAGACUCGCGCCUCGCGAACCACUGGCACGGGCGUCCAUCAAGACAACCCAAAAGUUUGACCUCGGAUCAGGUAGGGAUACCCGCUGAACUUAA
rnacentral:misc_RNA from 1 species